GCAGAGUUAGUGAAGCGGUCAAACACAAGAGACUGUAAAUCUCUCGGCUUAUGCCUUCGUAGGUUCGAAUCCUACACUCUGCACCA
rnacentral:tRNA from 1 species